AAGCGCAAGGAGGGGAUCUCGCGAGACCUGUGGUGCGGGUCGCAGAAGCUCGCUCGCUCGCUACGACCCUUGAGUGCCUUACCUGUGGGCCCUCAUUCGCGUGACAUCUGAGAUCAAUAAACGUUAAAAGUGAAUGUUUUUCAGAUCACCCGACCAUCCCCAGAGCAUAGACGGACCCGGGAAGAGCACUUAGGUUCAUUGCAAUGUUCCUGAAGGAGGAAGGGACUUGUCCAAGGUCACACAGCUCCACAGUGGCAAAGCUGGGACUUCCCUGAAGUCGAGAGUUUCGUCAAAUCCCUCCCUGGAAGCCGCGUGGCAACAGCCUGGGCACCUGCGGGAAUGUGGUUGUACAAGCACGCCGCAGGCAUCCCUGAGAUGGUGUUUCCGACGAAGGCCUCAGCUAAGAGACAGUUUGACUGUCUCAGCCACUGGCAUGUCAGGAGAAGUGCUCUGCUUGGUAAAUUGUUACAAGGACCUUGAAGAUCAUUGAUUAAGAGAGGAGAAACUGGAGCCCCUAAGGAAAAGGAUCUUGCCAAAAGUCACACAAUAGAUCAGCAGCAAAACUUGUACUGCCUCAUCUGCUGAGUAGAGGCUGGACCCAUAGGGCAGGGUCACCAUGGACCUAGUGAGUCAAAGGAGGGAAAAGCUGUGUCCAGUCGCCCAAGAUGCAUAGGUUUUAGGUUGAAGGUGAAGAGGAAGAGUCCAAAGUCCUAAAUCUUUUCUUCCUGAGAACUGAGAUGGGAGAGGGCUUCCCUGGUGGUGAAGAAUCCGCCUGCCAAUGCAGGGGACACGGUUUUGAGCCCUGGGCCAGGAAUAUCACACAUGCUGCAGAGCAACUAAGCCCGUGUGCCACAACUACUGAGCCUGCGCUCCAGAUCCCACGAGCCACAACUACUGAGCCCACGUGCCACAACUACGGAAGCCCGAGCGCCUAGAGCCUGUGCUCCGCAACAAGAGAAGCCACUGCAAUGAGAAGCCCGCGCACCACAAUGAAGAGUAGCCCCCGCUCGCCGCAACUAGAGAAAGCCCGGGCGCAGCAACGAAGAUCCAAUGCAGCCAUAAAUAAAUAAGUAAAAUUAACAAAUUUAAAAAAUGUAUAUUGCUAUAGUGAAAAAAAUAUAUUGCUAUAGUGGAUAUUCUGUAGUUGAUCUUUGUACAACUCUAAGAGGGCUUUUUGGUAUAAAUUCCUAGGAAUGAAAUUGCUAUAUCAAAGACUGAUCAGAUUUUUGCAUCUAUGUUCAUGAGGGAUAAGGGUUUAUAAUUUUCUUUUUUUGUAAUAUCUUUGUCAACUUUUCAUACCAACGUUAUUCUGGCCUCAAAAAAUAAAUUGGAAAGUGUUCCUCCUCUAUGUUCUGCAUGAGUUUGUGUAGGAUUUUUUUUUUCUUCAUUAAAUAAUUAUUUGAUAGAAUUCACCAGUGAAGCCAUCUGACCCUGGAGUUUUCUUUGCAGAAAGAGUUUGAUAAUAAAUU